rnacentral:rRNA from 1 species
UGGCCUUGCGCCGGCGAUGGUUCAUUCAAAUUUCUUCCCUAUCAACUUUCGAUGUUUGGGUAUUGGCCAAACAUGGUGCAACGGGUAACGGAGGGUUAGGCUCGACCCCGGAGAAGGAGCCUGAGAAACGGCUACUACAUCCAAGGAAGGCAGCAGGCGCGCAAAUUACCCAAUCCCGAUUCGGGGAGGUAGUGACAAUAAAUACUGAUACAGGGCUCUUUUGGGUCUUGUAUUGGAAUGAGUACAAUUUAAAUCCCUUAACGAGAACAAUGGAGGGCAAGUCUGGUGCCAGCAGCCGCGGUAAUUCCAGCUCCAAUAGCGUAUAUUAAAGUUGUUGUGGUUAAAAAGCUCGUAGUUGAACCUUGGGCGCCUGGCUGGCCGGUCCGCCUCACCGCGUGGCACUGUGCCGGCCGGGCCUUUCCCUCUGUGGAACCUCUGCCCUUCACUGGGUGUGGCGGGGAAACAGGACUUUUACUUUGAAAAAAUUAGAGUGCUCCAGGCAGGCCUAUGCUCGAAUACAUUAGGCAUGGAAUAAUAAAAUAGGACGCGUGGUUCUAGUUUUGUUGGUUUCUAGGACCGCCGUAUGAUUAAUAGGGACAGUCGGGGGCAUCAGUAUUCAAUUGUCAGAGGUGAAAUUCUUGGAUUUAUUGAGACUAACUACUGCUAAAGCAUUUGCCAAGGAAAUGUUUUCAUUAAUCAGGAACGUAAAGUUAGGGGAUCGAAGACGAUCAGAUACGUCGUAGUCUUAACCAUAAACUAUGCCGACUAGGGAUCGGACGAUGUUAUUUUUUGACGCGUUCGGCACCUUACGAGAAAUCAAAGUGCUUGGGCUCCAGGGGGAGUAUGGUCU